rnacentral:rRNA from 1 species
GAUGAACGCUGGCGGCGUGCCUAAUACAUGCAAGUCGAGCGAACAGAUGAGGAGCUUGCUCCUCUCACGUUAGCGGCGGACGGGUGAGUAACACGUGGAUAACCUACCUAUAAGACUGGGAUAACUUCGGGAAACCGGAGCUAAUACCGGAUAAUAUAUUGAACCGCAUGGGUCAUUAGUGAAAGACGGUUUUGCUGUCACUUAUAGAUGGAUCUGCGCCGCAUUAGCUAGUUGGUAAGGUAACGGCUUAUCAAGGCAACGAUGCGUAGCCGAUCUGACAGGGUGGUUGCCCACACUUGAAGGGAGACGCAGUGCAGACUGCUAUGGGAGGCAGCAGUAGGGAAUCUUCCGCAAUGGGCGAAAGCGUGACGGAACACGGGCGCGUGAGAGGUGAAAGUCUCCGGCUCGCAAAGAGCUGUUACCGGGUAAGAACAACUGUCUUAGUAACUUUGCUCGUCUUGACGGUACCUUAUAAAAAAGCUACGGCUAACUACGUG